UACGAAGGGGGCUAGCGUUGUUCGGAAUUACUGGGCGUAAAGCGCACGUAGGCGGGUUUGUAAGUAGGGGGUGAAAUCCCAGGGCUCAACCCUGGAACUGCCUUCUAGACUGCAAGCCUGGAGGUCAGGAGAGGCGAGUGGAAUACCGAGUGUAGAGGUGAAAUUCGUAGAUAUUCGGUGGAACACCAGUGGCGAAGGCGACUCGCUGGCUCGUAACUGACGCUCAUGCACGACAGCGUGGGGAUCAAACAGG
rnacentral:rRNA from 1 species